GCUGUAGAUGGUGGGGCGGAACUCCUCGCGCGCGCGCUGGUCGAAGUCCUGGCCGUGGAUGAUCCGCAUCUGCUUCAGGAAGGUGGACUUGCCGCUCUCGCCCGCGCCCAGCAGCAGGAUCUUCACCAGCCGCUUCACCCUUCAAAAAACCAUCCCUGAGCUGCCAGUGACCAGCCGAAACCUCAGCUUAUCCUCAGUCGGAGGUUCAGAGACACGCAUCGGUGACCCCAGACACACCUCGCUCGGAAGCGUCAGACCCACUCCAGCUGCUGGUUUAUACAGCACUACAAAAAGCCCUGCCCACUCACACACACUCCUUGAUGUGCAUGCAGAGGCCAGAGCAGGAUGUUAAGGCAGGCUCUCUCAUUGACACAGAAGUUCCCCAUCUCAGUUUACUCACAGAUGUGUUUCCCAGUAAGAUCUGUUUCUGAUUGCAAGGGCCUGAUACA
rnacentral:lncRNA from 1 species